GCUCUUGUGGUGUAGCUGGUUAUCACAUCUGCUUCACACGCAGAAGGUCCGCAGUUCGAGUCUGCGCGAGAGUA